rnacentral:rRNA from 1 species
AUUGAACGCUGGCGGCAUGCCUAACACAUGCAAGUCGAACGCGAAAGAGGGGCAACCCUUGAGUAGAGUGGCGGACGGGUGAGUAAUACGUAGGAAUCUUCCUUAGAGUGGGGGAUAACCCGAGGAAACUCGGGCUAAUACUGCAUAAUCUUUACGAAGCAAAGAUGGCUAGCAAUAGCUAUCGCUUUAAGAUGAGCCUACGCCGGAUUAGCUAGUUGGUAGGGUAAUGGCCUACCAAGGCAACGAUCCGUAGCUGGUUUGAGAGAACGACCAGCCACACUGGGACUGAGAUACGGCCCAGACUCCUACGGGAGGCAGCAGUGGGGAAUAUUGGACAAUGGGGGAAACCCUGAUCCAGCGAUGCCGCGUGUGCGAUGAAGGCCUGCGGGUUGUAAAGCACUUUCGUUGGGGAAGAAAUACUCAAAGCUAAUACCUUUGAGAGUUGACGUUACCCAAAGAAGAAGCACCGGCUAACUCUGUGCCAGCAGCCGCCGUAA